AACGAUACGGCGUCGAGCGGCGGACGGGUGAGUAAUGCCUAGGAAAUUGCCCUGAUGUGGGGGAUAACCAUUGGAAACGAUGGCUAAUACCGCAUAACGCCUACGGGCCAAAGAGGGGGACCUUCGGGCCUCUCGCGUCAGGAUAUGCCUAGGUGGGAUUAGCUAGUUGGUGAGGUAAGGGCUCACCAAGGCGACGAUCCCUAGCUGGUCUGAGAGGAUGAUCAGCCACACUGGAACUGAGACACGGUCCAGACUCCUACGGGAGGCAGCAGUGGGGAAUAUUGCACAAUGGGCGCAAGCCUGAUGCAGCCAUGCCGCGUGUGUGAAGAAGGCCUUCGGGUUGUAAAGCACUUUCAGUCGUGAGGAAGGUAGUGUAGUUAAUAGCUGCAUUAUUUGACGUUAGCGACAGAAGAAGCACCGGCUAACUCCGUGCCAGCAGCCGCGGUAAUACGGAGGGUGCGAGCGUUAAUCGGAAUUACUGGGCGUAAAGCGCAUGCAGGUGGUUUGUUAAGUCAGAUGUGAAAGCCCGGGGCUCAACCUCGGAAUUGCAUUUGAAACUGGCAGACUAGAGUACUGUAGAGGGGGGUAGAAUUUCAGGUGUAGCGGUGAAAUGCGUAGAGAUCUGAAGGAAUACCGGUGGCGAAGGCGGCCCCCUGGACAGAUACUGACACUCAGAUGCGAAAGCGUGGGGAGCAAACAGGAUUAGAUACCCUGGUAGUCCACGCCGUAAACGAUGUCUACUUGGAGGUUGUGGCCUUGAGCCGUGGCUUUCGGAGCUAACGCGUUAAGUAGACCGCCUGGGGAGUACGGUCGCAAGAUUAAAACUCAAAUGAAUUGACGGGGGCCCGCACAAGCGGUGGAGCAUGUGGUUUUAAUUCGAUGCAACGCG
rnacentral:rRNA from 1 species